rnacentral:rRNA from 1 species
UCUCUGCGCGGAAAAUUUAACGGGGCUAAGAUACAAACCGAAGCUUAGGCUGCACUUUUAGUGCGGGGUAGGGGAGCGUUGUGUAAGCGGAGAAACAGUAGCGAAAGCGGCUGUGGAGUUUACAGAAGUGAGAAUGCCGGAAUGAGUAGCGCGAAUGAUGUGAGAAUCAUCAUGGCCGGAAACCUCAGGUUUUUGGAGGAAGGUUCGUCCGCUCCAAGUUAGGCGGGAGCUAAGGUGAGGCCGAAAGGCGUAGCCGAUGCACAGACGGUAGAGAUUCCGUCCCCACCGAAAGAUUUAAGCACAGGGACACUUUUUGAAGGUCGGAGCCAGGUGUUGGUUCUGGUAGUGAUCGAGGGAAAUAUAGUACCGAAGUCCGGCUGGAAGAGAGGCGAGAAAAGCUGUGUGUAUAUCUAAGGUGCCCGUACCGCAAACCGACACAGGUAGGUAGGAAGAAGAUUCUAAGGCCAACGGGAGAAGGGUUGUUAAGGAACUCGGCAAGUUGACCCCGUAACUUCGGAAUAAGGGGUGCUCACGAGAGUGAGCCGCAGAGAAUAGGCCCAGGCAACUGUUUACCAAAAACACAGGUUUGUGCUAAAUCGAAAGAUGACGUAUACGAGCUGACGCCUGCCCGGUGCUGGAAGGUUAAAAGGAGAUGUGCAAGCAUUGAAUUGAAGCCCCAGUGAACGGCGGCCGUAACUAUAACGGUCCUAAGGUAGCGAAAUUCCUUGUCAGGUAAGUUCUGACCCGCAUGAAAGGCGUAAUGAUUUGGGCACUGUCUCAACAGCCCGCCCGGCGAAAUUGUAGUACCGGUGAAGAUGCCGGUUACCCGCGACAAGACGGAAAGACCCCAUGGAGCUUUACUGUAGCCUGAUAUUGGGUUUCGGUGUUGCAUGCACAGGAUAGAUGGGACGCUGGGAAGCGGAUGCUUUGGCGUUCGUGGAGUGGACGUUGGGAUACCAUCCUUGCGACAUUGGAAUUCUAACCUGCGCCUCUGAAUCGAGGCGGGGGACAUUGUCAGGUGGGCAGUUUGACUGGGGCGGUCGCCUCCUAAAAAGUAGCGGAGGCGUUCAAAGGUUCGUUCGAUCUGGACGGAAACCAGAUGAUUGAGUGCAAACGCAUAAACGAGCCUGACUGCGAGACUGACGGGUCGAGCAGAGACGAAAGUCGGAGUUAGUGAUCCGGUGGUAUGUGAGUGGAAAUGCCAUCGCUCAACGGAUAAAA